UAAUUUUAUUACCAGCCUCUUCCUGAGACUCGAGGCAGGAUACAUCAUUAAAACAACAACUAAAACACUAUUAAAAUACAUAUGAAAAGAGACACAAAAUACAAUUUAAAAUUCGCUGAUAAAAUGCAGAUUAAGACUCACAACUUAAAAUUGACAGUAGGCUUUCCAUCAAUGUCUUCAAUGACAUGCCACAAUUUGUUGAGGGUUUCACUUCUAACAUAUUUUCUAGUAAAAACUUUCUAGCAUCAAUUUGAAAGAGAAAACAAUAUAUGCUGAACUCACUAACUUUCCUUUGAAAGUUCCCCCUCUGCUCUUUUAAAACAUGCUAUUUCUUUGCAAAUCUAUGAUCUUUAUUUACAUCAGUGGCUAUAUCAGAACUCUUGGGAUCCCAAAUUAGUUAACAAAGAGUAUGAACGUGUGAUCUUCUGUGUGGCUUAUGAGGAGCUUUGUACCAUAAUCCUUUCUUAUCAUGAGGAUUUACUUCUGUAGAACAACUUUUAGGAGCGAAGUGUUAAUUACCUUACUGUGUGACAUUGAAGUGAAUGCCAAAGCUUUCAUUGAUUCUAACAGACCAGAAUUGCACUGUUGAGUCAUGGCAAAUUCUACUGAAGGCUUGCUCCUCUAGUCCAACCUGAAGAGUGAGCUUCCUUUUAUGAAGUAGAACUCACACCAUUCUACAAAUGAUUAUAUUCAUCAUUUUAAGAGUGUGAUUGUAUGACCCAGAAACCGAAAACUUAGUCUGAAUUAAUUAGAAGAUGUUAUGACAAUAGCUGACUAGGAGCAGGCCCUUCAACGUUGCUUUAGCUUCUCCAAUUGUCAGACUCACAGGGUUCCAGUGGCACUUAGCAGCAUUUUGUUCCUCCAGUGUAAUUUUAUUGGACUGUGCAGGGGAAAAUAAUUUUUGACACUAGUGACAGAUUCAUGUAAUCUUUAAAUCUCUAAUAAAUCAGUAGAGACUAAGGCAGUCAUGCAAGGAACUGUGGGAAUGACAUGGAGAAAAUACCAAGAGCCAAAUGUUCCGACUUCUGUUAGUAGGUGCUCAACUCAAUGAAAGACACGUAAACAUUUAUUAGAAGGUUCUGAUAGAUCCAACAUUUUCUUGAGCUGCUUUGAGUCUCCUCGUGGAGAGAAAAAGCAGGGUAUAAAUAAACAUCACCAUAAUAAUUGAUGUGCUGGUUGGUGAGGUAUACUGCAGUAUCUCUGUUUUAAAAAGUGAUUACUCUUCCGAUGUUUGGUGCAUUGCACCCUCCAGACCAGUUGUACUCAGCUUAUGGGUCCCCAGGUGUUUUAGCCUACAAUUCCCAGAAAUCCCAGCCAGUUUACCAGAUGUGAGGAUUUCUGGGAGUUGAAGGCCAAAACAUUUGGGGACCCAUAGGUUGAGAACAUAGAAACUGGGGACUGUAGCUUUAAAACUGGCUUUCUUUUUAGUAGAGAUGAGAAGUAUAUUUGGAUUAUUAGAAAAAUGUUCAAAAAUGUGUUUCUGAAGUGUUAAGAAAUUUUUCAUGACCUCUGGCAUGAAAAAUCUUCACACUUCAGGACUCAAUAAGUAAAGAUUUCCCUUGGCAUUAAGUCUAGUCACAUCUGACUCUGGGGGUGGUGCCCAUCUCCAUUUCUAAUUUGAAGAACCGGCGUUGUCCGUAGAUGUCUCCAAGGUCAUGUGGCUGGCUUGACUGCAUGGAGUGCCGUUACCUUCCCACCAGGGCGUUACCUAUUGAUCUACUCACAUUUGCAUGUUUUCAAACUGCUAGGUUGGCAGCAGCUGAGGCUAACAGCAGGAGCUCACCCCAUCCCACGGAUUCAAUCUGCCGACCUUCAGUCUGCAAGUUCCGCAGUUUAACCCGUUGCGCCACCGCGGCUCCUUACCUUAUCCUAAAUGUUGGUAUGGUUGCUUUCUUCAGAAAGCAACAUUUUUCUGUGAAAAAAAUAAUGUCUGCACAGAAAUAUUUCAUGCACAGAAAAUGCUGUUUUAUGCACAAAACAAACACAUAUGAAACUGCAAAUAAUAUUUGAAAAUAGCACAAUUUUCAAAGACUUCCUCACAGCAAAUAAAACAUUAGUAAGAUUAGUUGUUAUAGCCUUCAAAAAAAGAGAAGCACCCCCCCCUCCAGUUUUGAGUGACCUUGCUCUAUUGUUUAUGCUUCAACCCAAGGACUGAAAAACUAGUUAUCAACAGAAGUUUCAUUAACAUUACCUAAAACAAGUUCAUUAUAUUUAAAGAAAGGCAUUUUCUUCAUGCAGUCAAACGGAACGGUAAAAUAAGAAGAAAGUGGCCAUCAUCAGCAAUUGGUGAAAAGGAACUGGUGUGUGAGAGACAGAGGGAUGGAGAGAGAGACAUGAAGGGCAGAGCUACUGAUCUGUGCUCACUGGUACUCAGCUGCAAAUAUGCUCAGCAUCAUUAAUCUAACAUUACCGAGUCUUUUGGCAGUACACAAAAUAGUGAUUUGAGAGUCAGAGUGCCCUGUGGAGUCUACUCAAGUGUGCUUCAAACAUAUCUAAAGAAGAAGAUAAGAAGGAUCCUGUGUGACAUGUCUUAGAAGAUGGGCCACGGAUAUUGAAGUGCCUGUGAAACAUGGACCAUCUACAAAUAUCACUCUCAUCUUCUGGAAAGAACCCAUCAGCUUUGUUGCUGAAAAAUCCUGCAAAUCUCUUGGGGGAAAAAGGUGGACAAACGUUAGCAUUCUGGAAGAAGCAAAGACCACCAGCAUUGAAGCAAUGAUUAUCUGCCAUCAACUUUGUUGGACCAGUUACCAUGUCCCAAAGCAAUUACUUUACUCUCCGCUCAAGAAUGGAAAAUGGAAUGUUGGUGGAUAGCAAAAAAAAAAAAAAAAAAUUCAAGAUGGGCUUAAAGCUAACUGAAAAAAAUGUGGAAUAAACACUGAGAAUUGGAAAGCCCAGGCCCUCAAACAUUUUAACUGGAUGUCAGCUGUUACUAACAGUGCAUUUUGAAGAGGCACGAAUAGAGGGCAAAAAAGAGAAAUGUGGAAGGUGCAUUAAGCAAACCCUUCUUGGGACUAAUUUCCACCUGUUAAUCUAUGUCUUCAUUGUGAAAUACCAUGCAAAUGUAGAAUAGGUCUCUACAGUCAUUUACAGACUUCCAUCAAGCCUCUAGCCCUGGAAGACAAUCAUACUCCGCCACGAAUGAUCACCUAUGAUGAUGAUGAUGACAACAUGAACAAUUUUGUAGUAACUCUCUUUGAUAAACUUUUUGAUGUGGGAGCUUUUCUAUGUGUUACAAGAUAUUAUUUGUUUAUGACAUAUCUGUUUUUUCAUGACUAUGGCUGAAGCAAAUAUCCAAUGCCAACAUGGCAAUUGUAGUAGUUGUUGUUUCUUCAAAUCAUUUCUGACUUAUGAUUGAGAUUUCUUGUCGAGAUAUGUUCAAGAGAUUGCUGUGAGUCUUUUGGGCUGUUUGGCCAUGUUCCAGAAGUUUUCUCUCCUGAGGUUUCACCCACAUCUGUGGCAGGCAUCCUCAGAGGUUGUGAGGUAUGUUGGAAACUAGGCAAGGGAGGUUUAUAUAUCUAUGUAAGGUCUAGGGUGGGAGAAAGAACUCCUGUCUGUUGGAGGCAUGUAGCUGUUGUAAUUAAUCACCUUGAUUAGUGGCCCUGUGGCCUCAAGGCCUGGUUUCUUCCUGCCUGGGGGAAUCUUUUAUUUAGAGGUGUCAGCUUCCCUGAUUGUUUCAUGUCUGGAAUUUCUCUGUUUUCAAAGUGUUGUUCUUUAUUUACUGUUCUUAUUUUAGAGUUUUUUUAAACACCGGUGGACAGAUUUUGUUCAUUUUCAUGGUUUCCACAGGGCCAUCAAAUACUAAUCAAGGUGAUUAAUUACAAGAUCCACACCUGCCUCCAACAGGCAAGAGUUCUUUCUCCCACCCUGGACCUUACACAGAUAUAUAAACCUCCCUUGCUUAGUUUCCAACAUACUUCACAACGAGAGCCGGCCCUAGGUAUUUUUCAAGUGUAGGUGAACAGAAUUUUGGUGCCCCCCCCCCCAAACCAAUCACUGAAAAAUAAAAGUGUUGGAUAAGCGAAAAUGUUGGAUAAUAAUGAGGGAUUAAGGGAAAGCCUAUUAAACAUCAAAUUACAUUAAGAUUUUACAAACUAAGCACCAAAACAUCAUGUUUUACAACAAAUCAACAGAAAAAGGAGUCUCGACUGUGACCCCGUAUGUUUUGCGCCACAGGUGACUGCCUAAUUCGCCUCAUUGUUGGACCGCCUCUGCUCACAACCUCUGAGGAUGUCUGCCACAGAUGUGGGGGAAAGUCAGGAGAGAAAAUUUCUUGAACAUGGCCAAACAGCCCGAAAGACUCACAGCAACCUAGUCGUUCCAGCCAUGAAAGCCUUUGACAAUAUAUGUUCAAGAGAGUUUGCUAUUGCCUUCCUCUGAGGAAUAGAAAAUAUGACUCCCUCCCAGCUCCCCCCUUAUGUGAAUGGAGUAGCUCUAUUCUAACCUUUGAAAAAGCUCUGAAACUAUUUGAAAGAUAGAGUUUAGCACCUUGAAUCACUCCUUUAACGUUCAGACUAAGACCCAGAAGUGAUAUAUUAUCCUACUGAUGUAUUAUCUCACUGGAGAGCAUUAGCCACUAGCAGGAUGCCAACGAUUUAUUCCCAGAAAGAGAAGAAAGUAGGAAACCUAAAAAGUCAUUAUUGUGCAUACUACUCACCCAGUGAGCUUGACCAAAAACAAAAAAAAAAGAUUUUACACAGCAAAAACAGAGUUGGCAGCUGCUGAUUAGAAUAGUAGAAAAGAAUGUGCAAACACGGCAUCUUUGUGAUGAAGGUAUUCUUUUUUUGUGUCAUCUCGCCACCAUUCUUUGAUUAGAUGGGGUAUAAUUUCCACUUUGGUCUGAGGGGAUGCAUUUGAGGUGGAAAAGAAAAGAUUUAUGGAUGUACCAAAGCAAAGAAUUGUUUACUUCUACAGCCAGAAUAUGGGCUAUGAGGCUGUCGCUUAAAAGAAGGAUGUCUGCUCCAAUGUCUCCGGUGACAUCUUUGGUGUCUCAUGAUGAGGCUGAGAAAGAUUACUGACUGGAGCCCUGGGCAAUUGUGGACAGAUACUGGGUUGAGCCGGGGAGAGAAUAGGUGCUUAACAUUUCCCUUUCAACUGCUUUCUGAAGCAAAAUCUCCACACAUACUUGGACAAGAGAGCUUCAAUCAUUUUACACAGCCCUAGGAGUCUUUGUGAAAUUUAUUUCAAAGAUUUUCUUCCUGACUGCAUUCCCCUAAGGGAAAAAUUGUGCCAAGACACUAGAUACAAUAAUGGACUACACUGCAGGGUUAUCAUACAUUCAGUUCUUCCCUGCUGCUUUCUGUGUCUCUCUCUCCCCCAAGCUAUAUGGAAAGAAGAAAAUUGAUAUAACUCAUAUUCCUGUACACUGCUUUGCAAUAAAAUGGGUAUAGCAAUCAUGGUUUAUUUGCAUUUAUAUUAGAAGUUUUAAAACAACACAUAUUAUAAAGGAUGUAAAAUCUUGGCCAUUAUCUUUGGGGUUGUUUCACCUCUGUCAAGUCAGAGCUACAGAAAAAUACGAGAUAGUUGAAUCGUUUUUCCCCAGGCCAAUAGCAUCCUUUCUAUCAAAUAGAGGCCAAUAGUAUGGAAGAAGAAAUUUUAGCAGGCCUGCUGCUAUUCUCUUUUUUAGCUGGUAGCCCACAAAGAUUAUGCCAGGUGAAACUUGGUCUUCAGAAUGCCAUGAGACAAUGUGGCUUUUGAUACAAAAGACUAACACAACAAUUCCUUUGAAAAAGACCCAAAGCAGUCCCUUCAUAGGAAUGUUGAUGUAUCAGUGUAAUAUGUCUCAUGGUGCAUUGGCACUAUAGAAAUAAUGCACCAUUUUAAUAGCCAUGCCCCAAAGCUAUGGAUUGCUAGGAUUUGCACCCUUUGGCAGAGAAAGUUAGACAUUGCAAAGCUACAGUUCUCAUGAUUUCAUAGCAUUGGGCUGUCACAAAGUGAUGCCAAACUGCUUUAAUUCUACAGUGUAGAUGCACCCUCAGUCUGCUUAUUUACAGCUGUUCUUAAAAUCCUUUAAAAUAUAAAAUAAAUAAAUAAAAAUAAUUUUCAAUCCAAA